rnacentral:tRNA from 1 species
GGGGCUAUAGCUCAGCUGGGAGAGCGCCACAAUGGCAUUGUGGAGGUCAGCGGUUCGAUCCCGCUUAGCUCCACCA